GAAUCCUACGGGGGGCAGCAGUGGGGAAUAUUGCACAAUGGGGGAAACCCUGAUGCAGCGACGCCGCGUGAGUGAGGAAGUAUUUCGGUAUGUAAAGCUCUAUCAGCAGGGAAGAAAAUGACGGUACCUGACUAAGAAGCCCCGGCUAACUACGUGCCAGCAGCCGCGGUAAUACGUAGGGGGCAAGCGUUAUCCGGAUUUACUGGGGGAAAAGGGAGCGUAGACGGCUAAUCAAGACAGGAGUGAAAACGCAGUGCUCAACCUUGGGACUGCUUUUGAGACU
rnacentral:rRNA from 1 species